AUGUCCUUAUUUGAACAGGAUCUGUUAUAUAGGUUGCACAUCUUAGUCUAUGUAGAUUCCUAUAUAGACAAGCACACAAAUCCAAAAGAUGAACUAUGGCUCUCGGACUAGAGCGUGAAUAUUGUGAUGGUUGGGAGUAUGCUCCCACUCCUUUCUCGAUGAAAGCCUCGUAUGUGACAUUUCCAAUUCCAGACGGUGAAGGCCUAAGAGAGUUCUGAUGGAUU
rnacentral:snoRNA from 1 species